AACCAUAUUUAUAGAGAUAAUUCAGCGAGUUGGAUGCAUGUUCAAGGACGAGGAAGGGAAGGAGUACCAAAAGGGAGGAUGUGGGGGCUUUGGGAAAGGCAAUUUCUCAGAGCUUUUCAAAUCUGUUGAAGAAUACGAGAAGACUUUGGAAGCUAGAAGAACUGCAUAAAACAUUACAUGUUGCGAUCUUUUGCGGUGCUUCUUUUACAAUAAGUCAUUUGAUUACUGCAAUGUUAAUCUCCAUUGGUCUUUUCAUCCUUUCUUUGAGCAAGUGGUGGAGUCCUUGGAAGGAACAAGAUUGCUGGACUUUCAUGUAUUAGAGUAUUCGUGCGAGAUCAUAGCUUCUUAGCCUUGCAGCUUCUGUGGCAGACUGCCUCUUUUGCAUGUGUUACAAAUACAAUCUGCAAGUUGAGAAUGCCUCAAUUCUUCUUUUGCUUGCUGAGAUUCACUAGGUAUGUGAUCACGUCGGCCUGACACACUCCACAGUUCAUGUAUUCGAGAUCAAACAAUUUCAUCUUGUUUGCUCUCUUUUCGGGUAACUUGCUAUUUAAUCAAAAUUUGCUGAUGGAUUACAAUUUAGUGUGGGUGACAUCCCCUCUCUAGUUUACGUUAAAUGACGGCUGUGUAUCAAAUAGUUCAGAUUACUUGUUACGCAAGUCUCCACAAAAUGAGAAGGAAAUGAAUGCCUUUGUAAUAACUAAUAAGCACUCA